GGAAGUGUCAUAAUGAAAGCAUCUUCUUACCUCCUAGAAAGUAAUCAAAGAUAUUACUUGCUAUUCUGUUUACGUAGGUUGAAUUUCUUAAGGCUCUAGACAAGAACAUGUAGCAUAUUUCUCUUAUAAACCAAUAAAUAUGUUGGGGCCUUUUUUUAUCUUGCUUCUAAAGAUAGAAGACCAGAAUUUCUCUGGGGUGGUUGAAGUUAUUGUUUUUUAUGCUUAUCCUAAGGUUGACUUUGGAACCCUGGAAAUCUGAACCUGUGAAAGGCAUGUUGAGUGCUUAUUUACAAGGAGAGACAUGUUAAAGAGCUUGUUGGUUAUGCUGCUGGCCCAUGAUAUGGUUAGAAAGGAAUAGAAAGCCCCUUAGGCAUUGAAAUCUCUAUGAACUGUGCAAUACUACAUUAUGCUCAAAAUUUUGUAGUUAUUUCUCUCAUUAUCCGGAGGAUCAUAUUCAAGUGGCUGUUUCUGUUUUUAUGGUCCAUUAUGCAUUCAUUGAGGUGAAGUGAAGAGUUG
rnacentral:misc_RNA from 1 species